rnacentral:rRNA from 1 species
UACGUAGGGUGCAAGCGUUAAUCGGAAUUACUGGGCGUAAAGCGUGCGCAGGCGGUUUUGUAAGACAGAGGUGAAAUCCCCGGGCUCAACCUGGGAACUGCCUUUGUGACUGCAAGGCUGGAGUGCGGCAGAGGGGGAUGGAAUUCCGCGUGUAGCAGUGAAAUGCGUAGAUAUGCGGAGGAACACCGAUGGCGAAGGCAAUCCCCUGGGCCUGCACUGACGCUCAUGCACGAAAGCGUGGGGAGCAAACAGGAUUAGAUACCCUGGCAGUCCACGCCCUAAACGAUGUCAACUGGUUGUUGGGUCUCUUCUGACUCAGUAACGAAGCUAACGCGUGAAGUUGACCGCCUGGGGAGUACGGCCGCAAGGUUGAA